GUCUACAGCCAUACUACCCUGAACACUCCCAAUCUCGUCUGAUCUCAGAAGCUAAGCAGGGUCGGGCCUGGUCAGUACUUAGAUGGGAGAACAAAGUAAAGAGCUGGAGUCUGCAAGGA
rnacentral:rRNA from 1 species